GAUGAACGCUGGCGGCGUGCCUAAUACAUGCAAGUCGAGCGAACAGAUGAGGAGCUUGCUCCUCUGACGUUAGCGGCGGACGGGUGAGUAACACGUGGAUAACCUACCUAUAAGACUGGGAUAACUUCGGGAAACCGGAGCUAAUACCGGAUAAUAUAUUGAACCGCAUGGUUCAAUAGUGAAAGACGGUUUUGCUGUCACUUAUAGAUGGAUCCGCGCCGCAUUAGCUAGUUGGUAAGGUAACGGCUUACCAAGGCAACGAUGCGUAGCCGACCUGAGAGGGUGAUCGGCCACACUGGAACUGAGACACGGUCCAGACUCCUACGGGAGGCAGCAAUAGGGAAUCUUCCGCAAUGGGCGAAAGCCCGACGGAGCAACGCCGCGUGAGUGAUGAAGGUCUUCGGAUCGUAAAACUCUGUUAUUAGGGAAGAACAAAUGUGUAAGUAACUAUGCGCGUCUUGACGGUACCUAAUCAGAAAGCCACGGCUAACUACGUG
rnacentral:rRNA from 1 species